GGCAAAAAGCAAUUUCAUUAACAUAUAUGAAUUCUUCAGUUUAAAUACCGUUUCAAGACGAACUCCAGAGAACUCUUUAAUUUACGUUCUCUUACAAUAAGACAUUCAUCUAUGCCAAUACUCCGCCUACAAUUUUUGAGAAGUUAUGUUGAAAAGCUCUUUAUGGAGAAUCUAUUUUAGUUUAAACUACUUUUUUGCUCGUAUGAUUUGGGCCAAAAUUAAUAAAAUCGAAUAAUUAGGAAAUGCUGUUUCUAAAAACUGUAUAUCUGAUUAAAGACACAAACCUCUCCUUCAUUUCAAAUCUACACACCGGAAAUAAAACAGAACCCAAAACUGGCAACUGUCAUUUUCGCCAUUAACAAAGCAAAAUUACCGAUGACAGUACAGCUGUUGCAUCCGAUGGCCGUCCAAUAGUAAUGGCGCUGUUGUCUACAUUCCAUUCAAAUUCCGCACAUACCACUGGACAAACAAACCAAAAAGAAAAAUACACACUUUUAUAAAAAUCUAUAGCAAAAGCACUAGCAACGAAACGUAACGUAACGCAAAGAAAGAUUCAUAUAGCCAAAGAGCAAACGUUUUCGGUGACGGUGUCAGUGUCGGUGUGUCCCUUAAGCGCGUUCGUAUGUGUUAUUUUUAAAGUGUAAGAAAGCCAUUUUAUUUAACAAAAUAAAAUUGUUGUUGUUGUCGUCGUGUUGACAAAGUGAAGAGAAAAAAAUAUAAUAUUAUAAAAAUAUUUGAAUAGAAGAAACUGCUUUUCUAAGCAUACAGUGUGCAAAAAAAGUGCUAAACUAUUGCAUAUAAAACGUAAAAAGAAAAUUCGUAUCAAUUGCUCUCUGCAAAAGCAACGGUAACUGCAAGGAAAUCAAUCAUGGAAACUGCAUUGGAUGUGCUCUCACGCGCUGCCACAAUGGUGCAGGAUAAUGCAAAUGGUACGUAUACAUAGUUUUUGUAUAACUGCUCUUCUUCUUCUUCUAAGUGGGUAAGUUUCAGCACCAGAAUAAUAUAUACAUAUAUA